UUCUGUUGGGGGCUUCUCACACCCUGUCCAAAGCGGAAUCCUUUAUUCCCCACCCUACCCCACCCCAAAUUCUGCCUUGUUCAGCCUUCCACUCUACUCAGUGAAGAUCCUUAUAGGUGUUUCUAGAUGAUUCUGGAAAACAUUGCAGAAACUCCUCCCUCUUUUACAACAGCAUCCGUCCCUUCAGCAAAUGGACUUACCUCACAAAUCUCUCCAGAGCCUAGGCCUCUAACCCCAUCUCAGUAGCCCCCACCCAGAUCUGGCCAGUACCAUGCUAUGCCUCCACGUCCCAUCAUGCCCCAGGUAGAGCCCCCGAGCAGUCUUCAUGAGAGCUAGUGCCCAUCCUCUCUUCUCCAUUUGCACUCCAUGAUUGCCCCACGAUCAGCUCUGCUCUUCCACGUGGUCCCGUGUUUCUCCCAAAGCCCCCAGGCUUGCUGUUCCCUGGCGGAUUCUGCCCCUGACUUUCCUUCCACUAUGGAAGAGUCUGGCUCUCAGAGUACCAAGACUGGCUCUUUUAUCUUCUCAAAGUCCCCUGAAGUAAAGUUGAACCACUCCCCCCGAGUCCCCGUUCUCUUCUGGGCGGCCUCAGUGCUCCAGAGACGGAAAGUGGCUUUUCUCAAGAAGGUGGAAUUUUCCAACUCUGCUGGCAGUAACAUCCAGGUGACAUGUGUGGCAUCACUGUGCUAGGUCAGUGUCUUAGACAGGGACAGUCCUCAGAUGUUUGCUGACUGAGGCAGCCCAGGGAUAGAGUGGCACAGUUUGUUUGUUUGUUUGUUUCAUUUUCUUCAGUCAGGAACUUGCUCUGUAGUCCAGGCUGGCCUUGAACACCUAUCCUUCUGCCGAGGUCUCCCCGAUGCUGGGAUCACAGGUGUAUAUGGAGGCAGCCAUCUGCAAUCGUUCAGCUUGGUUCUGAGUAGCUUUCCCCACCCCUUCUGUACGAGGGAUCAAGUCUAGGGCCUGUAAUGUGGUUGGUUAAAUGUUCUACCGGUGAACCACUCCAGUGCCUUUUCCUGGUUCUGAUGGAGGCUUUGUAUUUAUGAGAGCUGUGUGGUGGUCUGGCUUAUCUGCACUCAUAGUCACGUGUAUCAUAUUAGUUGAGUGUAAUAUGCAUCUUAAAAUGUUAACUGCCAGACUUGUAAAAGUUCUAAGACUGUAAUCAAACUGUGAAAUCCAGUUCUCAGGGAGAAGCUGCCAGAAAAGUCCUGGCCAACUUCUCUUGCUGAAAGCACCCUUUGCUUUUUUUUUUUUUUUUUAAGACUUUUUAACUGUUCAUGGGUAUUUUGCCUGCAUGUGUGUCUGUGAACCAUGUGUGUGUCUGCUCAUGAGUGCCAGAAGAGGGCACAGGAUCCCAUGAAAGAGGAGUUACAGAUAGUCGUGGGAAAUCAUGGGUGCUGGAAAUCGAACCCAGGUCCUCUAAAAGCACAGCCAGUGCUCUUAACCAAUUGAGCCAGCCCCACAGUCCCUGAAAACACUCUUGGCUUUUUAUGGACAUAAGUUCUAAAGCAGAGGAGAAUCCCAAGGCCAAGUGUGGAAUGGUGGGGAAGAGACUUCACCUCUUGUGCAGGACACAUUCAGGGAUAAAGGGUUGAGGGACAAUGCUCUUCUCUGACAGCAAAUAGCUUUCUGUCUGGCUUGCUCUUAUGAGAGCUUGCCAGGAAGCUGGGAAGAAAAGAAAGAACGAGCGGACAGCAGCCAGGAAACUGGAAGAGCAGGAGGGGAAGAGGCUUUGGAACCUGGCUCUGCGCUGCUGAGCUUGGCCACACCUCUCAAGGAGAGGGAGAGAGGUGGCUUACUUCAGCUGGCCUCAAUGUGAUUGCCCCAGAUUAGGAAGCCGCCCUGAGGACCUCCUGGCGGGUCCCUGAACAAGAAGAGCUGGAGGAAGCUGGGUGAUGACACUUGGAAUCACUUUAGUCAGUCAUUAAAUUGUUGCUGUUCUCAAGUGCGACAUCUUCAGAGAUAGCCCCACACCAACUACGACAGAGAGAACUUCGUACUUAACUUUCGGAUAUGUUCGACACGGCACACCUAGGCCAGUGAGAUGACUCAGACUGUAAAGGCGCCGCUGCCAAUCCUCAAGACCCAAGUUCAAUCCCCGGGACCCAUGCCCUCCCAUGUGGAGAGAGAGGGAGAGUGCUAUAAUUUGUUCUUUGACCUCCACGCAUACUCACUCCUCUCUCCAGUAAAUAAAUUAAAAUAAUUUUAAAA